CCCAUCCUAGAUCAGACUUGCUCGGGGAAGACUAAGCGGAAGUCUCUACGUUCCUAUAGAAAGCUGGCUAGGGGCGAGGGGUGUCAUGGCGGCGGACAGUGACGAUGGUGUGCCUUCAGUUCCAACGCCCUCUGACGGUGAGCGGCUUCCCAAGAGUGGCCCCAGAAGCCUAAGGGGUCCUAUGGAGGGAAAAGCCUCGGGUUGGUAGUUCGGAAACAGGCCUGUAGCUUCUGUUUGCCUCAGCUCUCCUGGACUACAAAUCCCAGUGUGCAGCGCCUGCAACUGCAAAACCCGAAUUGUUGGAUUGUAGAGCGGUGAGGGUGAGUUGGGAGGUGUGGUUUGGAUCGAGCCCAGUGGUUGUCAAUAGGUAAUACCAGAGCACUGUGUACUCGUCCAUGGUAAGUGGAGCUUGAGUCUAACUUUGAAGCACUCUAGUAGCUGUUGAAGCACCGUGUAUAUGUGACUUUAUGGGAUCUGUUUGUGUUUGAGAUAGGGGCUUGCUUGCUCUGUAAUUCAGACUAGCCUUGAAGUCAGGGUCCUUUAGCUUUCUGCUCUCUAGUCCUGGGGUUACAGGCUGGAGGAUAAAGAACCCUCAAAGAAUAUCUAGUCCACUUUUCUCCUGAUUAUGAUGCAAAAGGGAAAUGAUUUCCACGUAAAGGCACUGGAAGACACAGAUGCCCUCUUUCCAAAUUUAAGGCACAGUCUGUUUGAAGGCUUGUGCUUAGAGUCAGUGGAUGCAAAAUCUUUAGGGGAAAACUUGUCAGUGGGCACCCCUCUCCCAAAUCUAGCUUGGUGUUUGACCCACCAGGAUCUUAUGAAAACAUCUAAAUCCCUCAAUGUCCUUAUGCCCAGGUGGUGUCAACAGAACCACACAAUCUGCAGAGGAGUUUGUAGUUCGGGUUCCCGUGGUAGAUGUGCAGAGUGACAACUUCAAGGAGAUAUGGCCAUCACUCUUGCUAGCCUUAAAGACAGCUAGCUUUGUGGCGGUGGACACGGAGCUGAGUGGCCUUGGGGAUAGGAAGAGUUUGCUGAACCAGUAAGUAUAAGCCUUGUCUGUAAUUCCAGCUCUAACACAUAUGUAGAUCUCAACCCUAGAGUUAGGUGGGGUAGUUUGGAUCCUUUGUGAAACUAACUCAGCCAUAGCCAUGCCCAAACCCAACUCUAAGGUGCAUCGAGGAACGUUAUAAGGCCGUGUGUCAUGCUGCCAGGACCCGUUCUGUCCUGUCCCUGGGCCUCGCCUGCUUCAAGCAGCAACCAGAUAAGGUAUGAAUUACCCCCCUCAUCCCAGGUCCGAGGCAUGGGGCCUAAGAGUUGAGAUCUUAAAGAAGGUUGAGGCUUUUCCCCCAGUUUUUGGGAAAGCAGAUCCUCGUGUGUUUCAGGGUGACAGUUCUUACUUGGCUCAAGUGUUCAAUCUCACCCUACUGUGCAUGGAGGAGUAUGUUAUAGAACCGAAGUCAGUACAGUUCCUGGUACAGCAUGGCUUCAACUUCAACCGGCAGUAUGCUCAGGGGAUCCCCUACCAUAAAGGCAAUGACAAGGGAGAUGAAAGCCAGAGCCAGUCAGUACGGACACUGUUCCUUGAACUAAUUCGAGCCCGGCGGCCGC
rnacentral:lncRNA from 1 species